GCGGUAUUGGCGAAGCACCAUUGUCACGCGGGAUAAGCCGGCCUCCUUCUGGCAUUAGCAAACCACGUGGACACCUGUGUCAAGGUCAUUCUGGACAAAAUGGCGAGCAUGAUCUUCUCCGGUUUAUUAGGUGACGGUCUGUACGGUGUCCGAGAUGAAAUAGUGUUGUUUGGUAUAUACCAGACUGGCAGGCUGCCUUCGAUGACCGUUCCCAGUCUGUUAUAAUCCUACAAAUAAAACGGGAGGUAUGGAUAAACCAAUAUCAGGUAUAUACAAGUAUUACUGGAGUUAACCAUAUGAAAUUGUAAAUAUUUAAGUCUUUAACUUAUUACUUGUAGUGAUUUGACAAAUGUAUUGAGGCUGCAUAAAGUUUGUUUCAUAAUUACAUGAAACAGGUUGAAACAA